rnacentral:rRNA from 1 species
ACGAGUUUGAUCAUGGCUCAGAUUGAACGCUGGCGGCAUGCCUUACACAUGCAAGUCGAACGGUAACAGGGAGCUUGCUCCGCUGACGAGUGGCGAACGGGUGAGUAACAUAUCGGAACGUACCAUUCAGUGGGGGAUAACGUAGCGAAAGUUACGCUAAUACCGCAUAUUCUGUGAGCAGGAAAGCAGGGGAUCGCAAGACCUUGCGCUGAUUGAGCGGCCGAUAUCAGAUUAGCUAGUUGGUGAGGUAAAAAGCUCACCAAGGCGACGAUCUGUAGCGGGUCUGAGAGGAUGAUCAGCCACAUUGGGACUGAGACACGGCCCAAACUCCUACGGGAGGCAGCAGUGGGGAAUAUUGGACAAUGGGCGAAAGCCUGAUCCAGCCAUGCCGCGUGAAUGAUGAAGGCCUUAGGGUUGUAAAAUUCUUCAACGGGGACGAUAAUGACGGUACCCGUAGAAGAAGCCCCGGCUAACUUCGUG